rnacentral:rRNA from 1 species
GACAGAGGGUGCAAACGUUGCUCGGAAUUACUGGGCGUAAAGCGCGUGUAGGCGGUGCCGCACGUCCGAUGUGAAAGCCCGGGGGCUCAACCCCCGGAAGUGCAUUGGAUACGACGGCGCUGGAGUCCUGAAGAGGAGGGCGGAAUUCCCGGUGUAGAGGUGAAAUUCGUAGAUAUCGGGAGGAACACCAGUGGCGAAGGCGGCUCUCUGGACAGGUACUGACGCUGAGGUGCGAAAGCGUGGGGAGCAAACAGG